AUGGCGACGGCGGCGUCGGCGCCCGUCUCCACGGCCACGGUGCGAGUCUCCAAUAUCCCGCCUUCCGCUGUCGCUAAGAAGCUUCUAGCCUUCUUCGAUUCCGCCGUCGCCGCUGCCGGCGCCGAGUACGCCUGCGAGAUCGCCGCCGCCCGACGCGGCUGGCUAAGUCGAGGCAAUGGGAUCGUCCAGUUCGAUUCCACCGCCGCUGCAACACUCGCCGCCGAGCUCGCCUCCUCCGGUCGCCUACCCCGCUUCCUGGGCUCCCUCCUGUCCGUCUCCCCUGCCCCCGCGGACCUUCUCCCCCGCGCGCCCGACCAUUCUCUCCGCACGGCCGGCGCGCGCCUCCUCGUCGGCAACCGCAUCGCCGAGCGCGAAUUCGAGGCGGCUGAUUCUUGGGACGGCGUCCGCGUGGAGGUCAUCCCGGGGAAGCGGCGCAUAGACCUGUACCUGGAUCACGAUUCCCAGAUGUACAGGCUUGAGGUGUUCUUCGAGGACAUCAGGAACUGCUACAAGUGCAGCUUCAAUGGGGCCGGCGCCAUCUUGCUGCAGCUCAUAUAUGCACCAAGAAUAUGCACUACAAUUUCGGGGCCUGCAGUUUAUUCAAGGUUCUCAGAUGACCGCUUUCAUGCAUGCAAGGAGGAUGUGAAGUUUACCUGGGUCAGAGCACUAGAUUUUACUCCUAACCACUCUUUCGGAAAGUGUUCAACUCUCGCCCUCGUACUUGAUGGUGCACCAGGGAAUUCUUUAAUGGAAUUUGUUGGCCCGUCGUCCAAGGUGGUUCCCCUUGUUGACUGCCUGACUGGUUGUUCAGUGUCUUAUGAAGUUCUUUUUCGUCUCAAUUCUCUUGUUCACAUGGGGAAGAUAGUUGCCAAACAUGUUAAUGCUGGUCUGUUUAAAGCUCUUGAAGAAAUUCCAGUUCAUAUUUCAAGGAGGAUUUUCGAGAAAAUGAGUAAGUUAGAGAGGGCUCAUAGCAGGAAGAGGAGCCACAAUGCUCUGCUGUCCAGUAAGACUGAAGGUGAAGGAAAAUUAAUGAUGUGCUACAGAAUUCACAUUACUCCAUCCAAAACAUACUGCUUGGGACCUGAGGAAGAAGUUUCAAAUUAUGUCGUUAAGCAUCAUAAAAAGUAUGCUUCUGACUUCGCUAGAGUUACUUUUGUUGACGAAGACCGGAGUAAACUUUUUCCAGAUGCUAUCUCAGCUAGAACUGGACGAGGGUUCUUUUCCCAACCCUUGAAAACUGGCCUGUAUUAUCGCAUUUUAUCCAUCCUGAAAGAAGGAUUUUCCAUUGGUCCAAAGAAGUAUGAAUUCUUGGCCUUCUCAGCAAGUCAACUUUGUGGAAGUUCUGUUUGGAUGUUUGUUUCUAAUGAUUCCCUGAAGGCUGAGGAUAUAAGAAGCUGGAUGGGCCACUUUGAAGAAAUCCGUUCAGUAUCUAACUCCUCCAGACAAACAGUUGAAAUCCUACCGUGGGAUGUGGAAGAGAUUCCAGAUAUUGAAGUCACAACUGAUGGCACUAAACACAUAUUUUCUGAUGGUAUCGGGAAGAUUUCUGAGAAAUUUGCCAAAGAUGUGGCUUACGAAAUUGGGUUAGACCCUACAAACCCUCCUUCAGCUUUUCAAAUAAGUAUGAAGAAAUUUGAAUCAAAGAGCACAAUGUUUAACAUUACCAGUUGGAGCAAACCCCAGCCACGCUAUAUGAAUCGUGAAAUUAUCUCUCUCCUUUCGACUUUGGGGAUAAGCGAUGAGAUAUUUGAGUUGAUGCAACAAGAUGAUAUGCGUGAAUUAGAUGAAAUGCUGACCAACAGAGAAGCUGCUCUCUCUGUUCUGGGGAAAAUUGGUAGUACCGAAACGAAGACAGCAUCGAAAAUGUUACUGCAAGGUUAUGAACCAAGUUUAGAGCCUUACCUGUUGAUGAUUCUUAAGGCCCAUCAGGAUAAUAGGCUGACUGACAUAAGAACUAGAUGUAAGAUUCAUGUUCCGAAAGGCCGUGUUCUUAUUGGUUGUUUGGACGAAACAGGCGAAUUAAAAUAUGGUCAAGUGUACAUCAGAAUUACAAAGAACAGCAAAGAGCAGAAGGAUAAUGGUCAACCAUAUUUUCUAAAGAUAAUGGGAAAGACAAAACAGCAGUUGUUGUUGGAAAAGUUGCAAUAUCGAAAAAUCCUUGUCUCCAUCCUGGUGACAUCAGAGUGCUUGAAGCUGUCUAUGACCAUGGAUUGUAUGCUAACAACCUGGUUGAUUGUGUUCCCUCAAAGAGGAGAAAGGCCUCAUCCAAAUGAAUGCUCUGGGGGCGAUUUGGACGGUGACCUCUAUUUUAUCACUUGGGAUGAGAAACUGAUUCCAGAGAAGGUUGAUUCACCUAUGGACUACACUGCAGCAAGGCCACGCAUAAUGGAUCAUGUUAUCACACUCGAGGAAAUCCAGAAGUACUUUGUGGAUUACAUGAUAAACUCGCUCGGUGCAAUCUCAACUGCUCACUUGGUCCACGCAGACCGUCAUCCAAUGAAAGCUCGGAGCCCUGAGUGCCUCCAGCUAGCUGCUUUGCAUUCAAUGGCAGUCGACUUCGCCAAGUCAGGAGCUCCAGCUGAAAUGCCGCAGUCACUGAGACCAAGGGAGUACCCUGACUUCAUGGAACGCUGGGACAAGCCAAUGUACAUCUCCAAUGGAGCUCUCGGCAAGCUCUACCGAGCGGCUGCGAGUCGGAUGCAGAGCUCUCCUGCUCCCUCCUUUGCUCAGCCAAAUCCUGUGUUCGAUCCUGACCUCGAGGUCCCUGGCUUUGAGGAGUUCCUGGAGUCCGCAGAGGAGUGCUACGACCUGUACACGGAGAAGCUGAGCGCCCUGAUGGGCCACUACGGCGUGGAGCACGAAGACAAGAUCCUGACCGGCAACAUCCGGAACAGGCUCCUGUACCUGAAGAAGGACAACAAGCGGUACUUUGAGAUGAAGGACCGCAUCAUCGACUCGGUCGAGGGCCUGCACAAGGAGGCGCGGGGCUGGUUCACGUCCUGCCCGAAGGCGGAGGCGCCGAGGAGGGCGUCAGCGUGGUACCGCGUUUCCUAUCACCCCGACCACCGGCGGCGGGAGAAGAAGCGGUUCUGGAGCUUCCCGUGGAUCAUUUGCGACGAGCUUCUGAAGAUCAAGGAGUCGAAUAACGGCGAUGACCCUUUGCAAAGUCAUUUAUCUGUGGAGAAUAUUCACUAG
rnacentral:rRNA from 1 species